GAGCAACGCCGCGUGAGUGAAGAAGGUUUUCGGAUCGUAAAACUCUGUUGUAAGGGAAGAACAAGUACGGUAGUAACUGGCCGUACCUUGACGGUACCUUAUUAGAAAGCCACGGCUAACUACGUGCCAGCAGCCGCGGUAAUACGUAGGUGGCAAGCGUUGUCCGGAAUUAUUGGGCGUAAAGCGCGCGCAGGCGGUCCUUUAAGUCUGAUGUGAAAGCCCACGGCUCAACCGUGGAAGGUCAUUGGAAACUGGGGGACUUGAGUGCAGAAGAGGUUAGUGGAAUUCCAAGUGUAGCGGUGAAAUGCGUAGAGAUUUGGAGGAACACCAGUGGCGAAGGCGACUAACUGGUCUGUAACUGACGCUGAGGCGCGAAAGCGUGGGGAGCAAACAGGAUUAGAUACCCUGGUAGUCCACGCCGUAAACGAUGAGUGCUAAGUGUUAGGGGGUUUCCGCCCCUUAGUGCUGCAGUAAACGCAUUAAGCACUCCGCCUGGGGAGUACGGCCGCAAGGCUGAAACUCAAAGGAAUUGACGGGGGCCCGCACAAGCGGUGGAGCAUGUGGU
rnacentral:rRNA from 1 species